rnacentral:tRNA from 1 species
CUUCGCGUAGGAGAGGACGCGCUUCAGGGCGCUCUCGACAGCCUGCUUCCAGUCGCGGUCCUGGUCCAGGAGUUCGGCUCCCCACUCGUAGA